rnacentral:lncRNA from 1 species
AUAGUAGGUGCUCAAUAUGUGCUUGUUGAAUAAAUGUGUCAAUGUUUGAUGUACAGACCUUUUAUUAUGUUUGAUUUGCUGCCAGUGCUGCCUCCAAACACAGGAGUGCUUCAUGAGAUGUUCACAAAAGCUCUUAAAAUAUUCCACAAAAAUCUUAAAAUAUUUCAUGAGUUUUCUUUCCUGUAUUUUUAUAGCAGCAUCUGGAAUUUAGCCUGCAUAGGACCCUCUGUAAGCUGACCCUGUUUAUCUAUUCAGCUUUACUUCUCCCCUCUCUCCACUUUGUAUUUUAUUCUCUACUACUUCCAACUGAUUGUAAUUUGACCAGACUCCAGACUAUCUUAUGCCUCUUUGCUUUUGUUUACCUGUUACUUCUCUCUGGAAUUCCCUGCCCCUUCUUAAUUUUUCUGGCCAAUUCUCACUCUCUAGGACUCAGAGGUUUCUCCUCAGGAGACUUCCAUGAGUCUCAUGUUGAGUUAGGUGACCCCAAUCCUCUGUUCUUCAUAGUCAUUCGCGCAUUUAUCUAGCUCAGCAUUUGCCAUACUACAUUGAAAUUAUUUCCUUAUGUGCCCAUCACUCCCCGUAGAUUGCAAACUCCUAGAGAAGGGCUCAACAGUGAGUGCUGAGGCUGCACAGAGGAGGAAGGCAGCACAAUGAUGGAAGGCUUCCUAAAGAGGUCAUCUCCUGAAUCAAUUAAAAAAAAAACCAACAGUGACAACAAAACUAAAAAAUAUGAAGAAGCUGAAACAUGAAAGCUCUGCCAACUGCAAUAUGUAGCUGCUAAGGUUGCUGUAUUUAUUGGAAUCAAGCAAGUGUUCCAGUAAAGAGCACAGAAGAUGUGUCUGGGAGCCUUUAUGUAUAACACUAACAAAGUUGACCUUAGAAUUGGAGUGCCUGGGUUAGAACCCUGCUGGUACCACCUGCUUACUGCAUGCUUCUGAUGUGAGUUCAGGAGAAGACACUGGCAAGGACAGCAAAGAACAGGAGAACACUCUAGCUUCCCUGAUAGCAUUCAAGGUGCUGUCCAAAGCUCUUGAGUUUCUGCUUUCAAGUGACCCUCAGAAAUUCCUCCAUUCACUGCAGAGGUUCUGUUUCUCCUUGCUUUGUUCUGACUUUACGGCAGAACUAAGCUAAUGAGUUAGUUACUAUGGGUUAUCACUUGGAUUUGAAGAACCAUCAUUUCUAGGCAUUGCUGCUCAGAGUGGGUCUGCCCUCAGGGGAAGCUGUCUAACCAGAGCCUAACCCACUAGGGUUUUAUCAGAACCUAACUGACCUGAGGAAAAGAAAUACUCAACUCCAGCAAGCUCCAGCCUUCCAAAUGGAGGAGGAGAAAACCCAACUCCAGCCCACUUCAGCUAUCUUGUCCCACAUAAAGGGGAAGUGGAAGAAACCUGAGAAGCAGGCAUGAAGUUCACAGUCCAGAGGUAUACAAGCCACGCUGAACAUCUGAAAAUCAAUUCAUGUGAUCCAUCACAUUAGCAGACUCAAGAAAAAAAACCACAUUAUCAUAUCAGUAGAUGUAGAAAAAAAAAAUUAACAAAAUCCAGCACCCAUUCACAAUGAAAAUGCCCAGUAAAUUAGAAAUAGAAGGUAACUUCCUCAAAUUGAUAAGGAAUAUCUCUAAAAACCUACAACUAAAAUCAUACUUAAUGGUAGAAAACUAGAAGCCUUCCCAGUAAGAGUAAGAACAAGUCAAAGAUGUAUGCUCUCACCAAUGCUUUUCAACAUCAUAUUGGAAGUCCUAGCUAGUGCAAUAAGCAAAAAAAAAAAAAAAGUUAUAUUAAUAAGAACAAAAACUGUGUUUGUUUGCAGAUGACAUGAUUUUCUAUGCAAAAAAUUCAAAAUAAUCAACAACAAAAAAAUCCUGAAACUAAUAAAUGAUUAUAGCAAGAUUUCAGGAUAUGAGAUUUAUAUACAAAGGUCAAUUACUUUCAUAUAUACAAGCAAUGAACAAGAGGGAUUUGAAAUUAAAAACGAAACUAUUUACAUUAGUACCCCCAAAAUGAAAUCCUUAUGUAUAAACUUAACAAAAUAUGUACAAGAUACAUAUGAGAAAAA